rnacentral:rRNA from 1 species
AGUGAACGCUGGCGGUAGGCCUAACACAUGCAAGUCGAACGGCAGCACAGUAAGAGCUUGCUCUUACGGGUGGCGAGUGGCGGACGGGUGAGGAAUACAUCGGAAUCUACUUUUUCGUGGGGGAUAACGUAGGGAAACUUACGCUAAUACCGCAUACGACCUACGGGUGAAAGCAGGGGAUCUUCGGACCUUGCGCGAUUGAAUUAGCCGAUGUCGGAUUAGCUAGUUGGCGGGGUAAAGGCCCACCAAGGCGACGAUCCGUAGCUGGUCUGAGAGGAUGAUCAGCCACCCUGGAACGGAGACACGGUCCAGACGCCUACGGGAGGCAGCAGUGGGGAAUAUUGGACAAUGGGCGCAAGCCUGAUCCAGCCAUACCGCGUGGGUGAAGAAGGCCUUCGGGUUGUAAAGACCUUCUGUUGGGAAAGAAAAGCAGCAGGUUAAUACCACGCUGUUGUGACGGUACCCAAAGAAUAAGCACCGGCUAACUUCGUG